rnacentral:rRNA from 1 species
UACGGAGGGUGCGAGCGUUGUUCGGAAUCACUGGGCGUAAAGGGCGUGUAGGCGGUCUGUUAAGUCUGAUGUGAAAGCCCGGGGCUCACCCCCGGAAGUGCAUUGGAUACUGGCGGACUCGAGUCUCGGAGAGGAGGGUGGAAUUCCUGGUGUAGCGGUGAAAUGCGUAGAUAUCAGGAGGAACACCGGUGGCGAAGGCGGCCCUCUGGACGAUGACUGACGCCGAGACGCGAAAGCGUGGGGAGCAAACAGG